rnacentral:rRNA from 1 species
CAGUAGCCGCGGGAAUACGGAGGGUGCAAGCGUUAAUCGGAAUUACUGGGCGUAAAGCGCACGCAGGCGGUUUGUUAAGUCAGAUGUGAAAUCCCCGCGCUUAACUUGGGAACUGCAUUUGAAACUGGCAAGCUAGAGUCUUGUAGAGGGGGGUAGAAUUCCAGGUGUAGCGGUGAAAUGCGUAGAGAUCUGGAGGAAUACCGGUGGCGAAGGCGGCCCCCUGGACAAAGACUGACGCUCAGGUGCGAAAGCGUGGGGAGCAAACAGGAUUAGAUACCCCGGUAGUCCCUGUCUCUUAUAC